rnacentral:SRP_RNA from 1 species
GCCAGGCAUGGUGGUGCAUGCCUGUAAUCCCAGCUACUUGGGAGGCUGAGACAGGAGAAUUGCUUGAACCCGGGAGGUGGAAGUUGCAGUGAACCAAGAUCAUGCCUCUGCACUCCAGCCUGGGUGACAGAGCGAGACCCUAUCUCAA